AACGAACGCUGGCGGCAUGCCUAACACAUGCAAGUCGAACGAGACCUUCGGGCCUAGUGGCGCACGGGUGCGUAACGCGUGGGAACCUGCCCUUAGGUUCGGAAUAACUCCCCGAAAGGGGUGCUAAUACCGGAUAAUGUCUUCGGACCAAAGAUUUAUCGCCUUUGGAUGGGCCCGCGUUGGAUUAGCCAGUUGGUAGGGUAAAAGCCUACCAAGGCCACGAUCCAUAGCUGGUCUGAGAGGAUGAUCAGCCACACUGGGACUGAGACACGGCCCAGACUCCUACGGGAGGCAGCAGUGGGGAGUAUUGGACAAUGGGCGAAAGCCUGAUCCAGCAGUGCCGCGUGAGUGAUGAAGGCCUUAGUGUUGUAAAGCUCUUUUACCCGGGAUGAUAAUGACAGUACCGGGUGAAUAAGCACCGGCUAACUCCGUG
rnacentral:rRNA from 1 species